GUGCCUUUUGGUACUACUGGAAGUUCUUCUUAAAAGGGAGGAGAUGAGAUUUUUUUUUCCACUUCCUCCACCCCACUGCCUAGAUUAUGUUGCAAUGUUGCAGUUGUAAUGGGAAGAUACUAGCAGAAGUAGGAGAAAAGGCCUGUGGAAUAUGUCCAUAUUUGCAUUUGAGAAACAACACUGGCUGCUCUCUGAAGAGACUAUGCGGAGCAGAAACAAAGCAAGCUGGUGCAUGAUCACCUAUCUCAGCUUUCAAGAGAGUCUGAACAUUAUUUCCCAACCACAAAAGACCCACCUCCACAACUGGGAAGGAAUGGAUCUGCAACCCAUUUGUGAAUAAGCCAGGUGAAUUGACUUUGUCUGUGCUGGAAGAGGAUCAACUGCUUGAAAUCGCAAAUCGAGGUGGCCUUAAAAGUAUGUUUGAGACAACUUCAAGUCUUUACACAUUCUGGAUUAAAGUCAAGGCAAAAUAUACUGAGAUUGCCACGAAAGCACUGAAAAACCUGCUUCUAUUUCCAACAUCCUAUCUUUGUGAAGCAGGGUUUUCUGCAGUGACAGCAACCAAAAUAAGAUUACAGAGUAGACUGGACAUAAGCAACACACUUGGGGUGUCACUGUCUCCCAUCACCCCCAUUUGGGACAAUCUAGUUGCAGGGAAAAAAAUUCCAGGGUUCCCACUGAUUCUAUGUUACGGUGAGUUGUGUAACUAUUUUAUUAUGUAUUACCAUGUGAUAAUAAUAGAAAUAAAAUGCACAAUACAUGUAAUGUGCUUGAAUAUUCCUGAACCCACCACCCCCAAACCCAGCCGUUGGAAAAAUUGUCUUCCAUGAAAUCAGUACUUGGUGCCAAAAAGGUUAGGGACCGCCGCAUUACAGAAUGUCAUAAUUGCUGCCUUUUAUGACGAAAAUGCUGUGUCUCAGUAGCUAAGACAGGCACAUUGAUCAACAACUACAAAAUCUAAGUGUAUUUAAUAUUAAGGUCUUUUAGAUAACUUAAUAGGCUUUUGAAACAACAGAGAAGCCCUCACUUUGCAGAUGUGUAAGUAACUUUUCCAUAAAGUUAAAUGAAACCAUUAAAAUAUUUUCAAUUAUUGGUAAUACAUCCAAAUAGUAUGAAUGGGGAAAAUAGGAUUAGUGUUAUCUGAUUGCCACUAGGGGGAGGAAAAAUCAGCAAAUGAGCAGCAAAUAUGAACUGGAAGAAAAUGCUCCAAAAAGUUGGCGUGGCAUAUGUAUUUUGGUUAACAUUUGUGAAGUAUAAGUAGUGCAUUACACAAUUAAAGAAACAUUUUUUAUUUUUUUACUUUUCUAUAUAUUCUACAUUAAAAAUAUGUUCUAAUUAUACACACACAUUUAAAAGAAAAAAGUCAAAAGACAUAUAAAUAUCAUGGGAACAUGGAACUUUAGAAUGAGUCAGGACAAGUCUUAGAUAACUUUGCUCAGCCUCUCUCCUUCGUGUGACAUCCCUAGUAGAACAAGGUACACCUACCUCUACUUGGAAACUUCUGGUGAUGGGGAUCUUGUUUUUUUUUUUUUUUUUUUUUUCAGUCUAACUCACUCUAGUAUUGAUCAUCACUGAGUCAGAAACUUCUCCCCAAAAUGGACUACAACAUGGCUACAUUUUAUAUUCACUUGUGGCACAGUGUUACCAUAUAUUGAACUACAGGUUGUGCACUGCACAGCUUCAUAGAUUACAAUAUGCAUAGCACACCCUGAAGAUCAGCAGUGUCACAGGGUCAAGAUUCCUUUCAUGGCCUAUAUCAUUGUCCAAGUUGUAUAUAUUCUUUCUUUGUCUUCCUUUUUCUCUUCCUCUUCUUCCUUUUUUCCUUUCUUUUAGCAUUACUUGACCUCUUUAGAGGGAAGAUGUGGCUCAAAAUAUUGCUUUGGGUUAAUGUUCUUUGUCUUACAUUUUUCCUGGAAAAAAAUUAAUCAGUGGUUUUUUCUUGAUUUUCCACAUUUACGAAGUUUGCUUUUAGACUGCAAAGUAACUCACAGCACAGUUUCAGAUGACUUUUAUUGACUCAUGAUCAAGGGAACCCUCAACACACAAAAGAAAUUGAGCAUGAAUUUGUCAUAACUACUGACUUAAGGCUAAGCAAGGCAUAUAUACAUAUAUAUAUGUGUGUGUGUGUAUGUUUAUCUAAUUCUCACAACUAAUCUGUGCAAUAAUUGUUAUAGCCACAGCUCUGUCCUGGAGUCACAUUAAAUAGUUCCCUCAUCUGCCAAUGCUCCUUUAUUAUGGGCUCUCAUGCAUACUAUCCUCUCUAUUGAAACACUCACUCUGACCAUCCCAACUUCCUCUUUUGUUUAUUCUCUCUUUUGCCUGACAAACUCCAACUUAUAAUUCAGGUUUCAGAAUAGACAUGGCCAUUUCCAUGAUCUUCCAUGACGGGCUAGUUGCCCUCCCUAUUUGCUCCCAAAUGCUUUGCAUGUCCCAUAUUUUAUCCCAUAAAUUUAUAUUAUAGUUGCCUAUGUACUAGUCUAGUCUCGUGUGCUAGACUGUCUAACAAUAGUCUCUUGUAUUAGACUGACCACCGUGAGAUCCAGGACCAUAGAAGGGGGAACAUAGUUUAAUCUACUACAGUGUAGUGAGGACAUGGAACCUGCACCUAUGCUUCCUGGAUGUAAAUCCUGUCUUUACCACUUACUAACUGAGGGUCUGCAGACAAAUUAAAUGAAUGAGUCUGUUUAUUUGCAAAAUGAGAAUAAAAUAGUCCAUACUUUCUGCAAUUGUUGUGAGAGAGAACACAGAAAAGGCGCUGAGAGGGUACAUGGCAUGCAGUAAGUGUUAUUCGUUUUAUUGAGGCUAGUCAUGAAUGUAAUCUCAAGCUGGCACAUAGUAGAUGCUCAGAAAUUUUUGGAGACCCAGGAUCAUCUCAAAUGUAACUUCUUCUAUAAAGCCUUCUCAAAUGCCCCAUUUAGAAGUCUUCCUCUCAACUCAGAUGACACCUUACCUCCUACUAUUUAAUAGUACUUCUUAUCUAUUACCAUAUAUCCAGCGAAUGUUUUCUGCAUGUCGUUUUCUUCCUACCAAGCCAAAGCUUCUAGCUGGCAGGCUCCAUAUUUGUCUCUAUUCAUCACAACACCUAUGGUAGAAAACAAUUGUUG
rnacentral:lncRNA from 1 species